UGUUGUUGCUCCCUCUGCUGCAUAGUUUUGUCUUUGUUUUUGCCACAGUUUUGUCUAGUUCUUUGCCAUAGUUUUUGCCAAGUUUCACAGCCCUGUUCAUUUGUCACUUUGGACUGCUCACUCUGUUUUUUUGACAUUCUGCCUGUUUUGUGGAUUACGCUAUUGUUUUGCCCUGGAUGUACUGCUUGUUUGGAUAUCGACCCUGCCUGUCUUGACUACGAUCUGUUUAAUAAAGUUCGCAAGUGGAUCUUACACGCUUCCCACGAGUCCAUGUUACAGACAGAUGCAAAUGGAGACUAUUGGAAAUAAUUUUCCUGUGAAGAAAUCCUGAAGGAGGGUUGAGAUGAAGGCAACCACGUGGCUGUGCAUUCCUCCAAGACUCUUGCAUGAACAGUUUCAAAAAACAUUUGAGCUUUUUUAAAAUCUCAAAAUGGCACUUGGAUUGAACAUGCAGAUAAAAGGGAAAUAAUACAUACCUUAUAAUGAAUUACAUCACUUUAAUGAUAUUUCAGUUAUAAUAAAUUGCAUAACUUCAAAAAUUUGUUGUCAAGCCACUGGAGUCACAUACUUUAUUGAUGUUUUUAUACCUUUCUGGACCCUGAAAGUGGUAGUUGCGUAGAUUAUCAGUAGUAGUACCCAGAAAGUACCCCAGAAAGUACCCAAAAAAAUACCAAAAAAUACACUAUAUAUAUAUUACAAAUACAGAAAAUAUAUAUAUAUUUCUAUAUAUUGAGUUUGCCUAACAAACGUGUGUGUACUGUGUGUAAUUAUUAUGUAUAUAUAAAUGCACACAAAUUAAUGUAUAUAUUUAACAGAAAUAUGUCAUUUAUGUACAAAAUAUUUGUAUUUAUAUAUAAUAUAAAUGAUAUAAAAUUUAUAAUAAAUACACAUACUUGUAAAUAUUUCUUAAAUAUAUACACGAAUGUGCUUGUAUUUAUAUAAACAUAAUAAUUACACACAGUACACACACAUAUACUAGGCAAACUCAAGCUUUUAUUUUGUAUGCGAUUAAUCGUUUGACAGCCCUAAUAUAUAUAUAUAUAUAUAUAUAUAUAUAUAUAAAGCAAAUAAAUUCAGCACAAUAUACGAAUUGAACAUAGUUUAUUUUUACUUCAUGUAAACAUUCUUAAAAGUGCAUUCAAUGGCUUUUGUUUGCCUUAAAUUGGUUAGGACAAAACAAUAUUAUCAAUCAAAUACUCAAUCAAAUCAAUUCACUUAACAAUGUGUCAAACACCAAAAAAUGCCUGUAUCAGAAAAGACAGUUUAGAUUUAAAUAGCAACAGACAUAAUUAAAAAAAGAAAACAUGAGCACUCGUACAAUACUGGUGUUGCACUAAAUAGUGGUCACAAAAUUUAAACUUCAAACUGUAAAACAGUCAAGAUUCAAAACUUUUUUUCUUAUAAGAGAAAACAAUAUUGUUUUAUUUCACACAAAUAUGUGAAUUCUGUCAAUUACUCACCCUCACCAUUUUAAACCCAUAAGACUUUCAUUCAUCUUUAGAACACAAAUAAAGAGUAUUUUUAAAUGAAAUUUAGGUACUUUCUGUCCUUCUAUUGAUAAUCUGCGCAACUAUCACACAAAGUCCAGAAAGGUAUAAAAACAUCAAUAAAGUAUGUGACUCCAGUGGCUUGACAACACAUUUUUGAAGUUAAGCAAUUUAUUAUAACUGAAAUAUCAUUAAAGUGAUGCAAUUCAUUAUAAGGGAUGUAUUACUUCCCUUUUAUCUGCAUGUUUAAUCCAAGUGUCAGAUCAACUAUGUCUUGCAAUAUACUUAUUUUCAACUAAAUAAACAGCAACAAAGAGUC